ACCUGAUCUCUCUAGGACAUUCAGAAGCCAAGUUAUAAGCCCACAAAUGUGUAACUGGACUACUUCUUUAAAGAGCGGGUCAAUUGAGCCUCGGAGUCCUUCUCCACCCACGUAUCAAUUUUAAAAAAUGCAACAUUAGUAGGCGUUGCCUGGAGGACCGAGAGGGCGGAGCCGCGGCAGUGACGAAGACGAUGGCUAACUAGACGAAUCUAGCUCCCUUCACUCUGAGCAGUUGAUAGAAGUGGAGGACGUUUCUCCCCCUCCUUACAGACACUCGAGAAGAAAGGGACCAAGUCUAUUUGGAGGAGACAAGCGGACCUGAGUCUUAUUGUUUUGAGCUUGUGAGUUGCCUGAAACUCCCAGAACCGACCCAACAGAAUCACCUCUGAAAGGUCCUCUGGUGUCUGCAGCUGGUCUCUGGUGUCUGCAGCUGGUCUCCUCUGCUGGUGUCCUCAGGAUCAGGAACUUCCAGAAGAAUGUGCCUUUCAAUGACUCUUUCCCCCUUAUUUGUUAUAUUAAUUAAAUAAAUCUCAAUUUAUAUA